UUUGGCAUAAUAUGAUGAUUUUGGGGGUUUAUAUGGCCUAACAUGAUGAUUUUGGGGAUUUACUUUGGCAUAACAUGACGAUUUUGGGGUUUCACUUUGGCCGCAUAACAUGACGAUUUUGGAGGUUUACUUUGGCAUAACAUGACGAUUUUGGGGGUUUAUUUUGGCAUAACAUGAUGAUUUUGGGGGUUUACUUUGGCAUAACAUGAUGAUUUUGGAGGUUUACUUUGGCAUAACAUGAUGAUUUUGGAGGUUUAGUUUGGCAUAAAAUGACGAUUUUGGGGGUUUACUUUGGCAUAACAUGAUGAUUUUGGAGGUUUACUUUGGCAUAACAUGACGAUUUUGGGGGUUUACUUUGGCAUAACAUGAUGAUUUUGGAGGUUUACUUUGGCAUAACAUGAUGAUUUUGGAGGUUUACUUUGGCAUAACAUGACGAUUUUGGGGGUUUACUUUGGCAUAACAUGAUGAUUUUGGAGGUUUACUUUGGCAUAACAUGACGAUUUUGGGGGUUUACUAUGGCAUAACAUGAUGAUUUUGGGGGUUUACUUUGGCAUAACAUGAUGAUUUUGGAGGUGUACUUUGGCAUAACAUGAUGAUUUUGGGGGUUUACUUUGGCAUAACAUGAUGAUUUUGGAGGUGUACUUUGGCAUAACAUGAUGAUUUUGGAGGUUUACUUUGGCAUAACAUGAUGAUUUUGGAGGUGUACUUUGGCAUAACAUGACGAUUUUGGGGGUUUACUUUGGCAUAACAUGAUGAUUUUGGAGGUGUACUUUGGCAUAACAUGACGAUUUUGGGGGUUUACUUUGGCAUAACAUGAUGAUUUUGGAGGUUUACUUUGGCAUAACAUGACGAUUUUGGGGGUUUACUUUGGCAUAA